GAAAUGCGGUAAGUAAUGUGAAUUGCAGAAUUCAGUGAAUCAUCGAAUCUUUGAACGCACCUUGCGCUCCUUGGUAUUCCUUGGAGCAUGCCUGUUUGAGUAUCAUGAAAUCUUCAAAGUAAAUCUUUUGUUAACUCAAUUGGUUUCUACUUUGGUAUUGGAGGUCUUUGCAGCUUCACACCUGCUCCUCUUUGUUCAUUAGCUGGAUCUCAGUGUUAUGCUUGGUUCCACUCGGCGUGAUAAGUUAUCUAUCGCUGAGGACACUGUAAAAGGUGGCCAAGGUAAAUGCAGAUGAACCGCUUCUAAUAGUCCAUUGACUUGGACAAUACUUUUAUGAUCUGAUCUCAAAUCAGGUAGGACUACCCGCUGAACUUAGGC
rnacentral:misc_RNA from 1 species